AUCUUUGCACAAUGGCAGUAUCGUAGCCUAUGAGGUUUAUCCGAGGCGCGAUUAUUGCUAAUUGAAAAACUUUACCCAAUACCCUGCCUUGACGACUUGAAAUAUAGUCGGCAAUGGCAAUUUUUGUUGGUCUCUAUGGAGA
rnacentral:snRNA from 1 species